rnacentral:lncRNA from 1 species
UGUAUUCCCAAAAUAGGUGCAAUUGGACGAUCUCUGUUGUACCAUGUGGACCCACACAGAUGGCCCCGAUUGAAGAAUGAGAAGUAUUUAAACCUCUAUCAUCCAACUCCCUAAACCCUUAGCCAACACUUUGACCGGAUAAGAAGAAGAGGAGCGGUCAGAGGGGAGUUUAGCCACCGGAGAGACGCCAGCUCCACCGUGCCAGAACCCUAAAAUGCACUAGUAAGCCAGAAAUUCCUUCCCGUUCUUUUUGUUUCUUCGCCCUUAGCCGUCUAACAUGUUCCUGAUGCAUCGUGACCAAGAAAAAUUGCAAACCGCGAGAGAGGAAUGGCAGAUCUCGAGUGAGCCACUGCAUCAGAGGACUAAAACUGCCAGUAAGAAUCUAUUUUU